UACAGGGGGUGCAAGCGUUGUUCGGAAUUAUUGGGCGUAAAGCGCGUGUAGGCGGACCACUAAGUCUGGUGUGAAAUCCCUCGGCUCAACUGAGGACGUGCAUUGGAUACUGGUGGUCUUGAGUCCUGGAGAGGGUAGCGGAAUUCCCAGUGUAGAGGUGAAAUUCGUAGAUAUGUGGAAGAACAUCUGUGGCGAAGGCGGUUUUCUAGAUUACUCCUGACGCUGAGGCGCGAAAGCAAGGGGAGCAAACAGGAUUAGAAACCCUGGUAGUCCCUGAUGCCAAGGCACACAGGGGGGAUA
rnacentral:rRNA from 1 species